AUUGAACGCUGGCGGCAGGCCUAACACAUGCAAGUCGAACGAGUGGCGGACGGGUGAGUAAUGUCUGGGAAACUGCCUGAUGGAGGGGGAUAACUACUGGAAACGGUAGCUAAUACCGCAUACCAUCGGAUGUGCCCAGAUGGGAUUAGCUAGUGGGUGGGGUAAAGGCUCACCUAGGCGACGAUCCCUAGCUGGUCUGAGAGGAUGACCAGCCCCACUGGAACUGAGACAUGGUCCAGCCUCCUACGGGAGGCAGCAGUGGGGAAUAUUGGCAAUGGGGCGCAAUCCGGAUGCAGCCAUGCCUCGUAUAUGAAGAAGGCCUUCGGGUUGUAAAGUCCUUUCAUCGGGGAGGCGUUACCCGCAGAAGAAGCCCCGGCUAACUCCGUGCCAGCAGCCGCGGUAAUAC
rnacentral:rRNA from 1 species